rnacentral:rRNA from 1 species
GCCAUACAGCUAGCUUAAACACCCAGAUAUUAAUAACAACAUUCAAACAAACCUAACUUAACCACAACCACAAAACUAAAACAUUCUCCCGCCCCAGUAUGUGAGACAGAAAAGGCCCAACAGAGCAAUAAAAAAGUACCGCAAGGGAAAGCUGAAAAAGAAAUGAAACAAACCAUUUAAGCCCAAUAAAGCAGAGACUAACCCUCGUACCUUUUGCAUCAUGAUUUAGUUAGUCCCCCUGAGCAAAGAGUACUUUAGUUCAAGACCCCGAAACUAGGUGAGCUACCCCGGGACAGCCUAUUUUAGGGCCAACCCGUCUCUGUGGCAAAAGAGUGGGAAGAUCUCUGGGUAGGGGUGACAGACCUACCGAACCUAGUUAUAGCUGGUUGCCUAAAAAGUGGAUAGAAGUUCAGCCUCGCACUCCUCAACCCAUAAAUAGUCCUUACUAACCCAAGGGCCAGAGAAAUAUGCGAGAGUUAGUCAGAGGAGGUACAGCUCCUCUGAAAUGGGAAACAACCCUUUCAGGAGGUUAAAGAUUAUACUUAACAAGAUUACUGCUUCAGUGGGCCUAAAAGCAGCCACCUGAAUAGAAAGCGUUAAAGCUCAAGCAGCCCACAAUCUAUUAUACUAAUAAUUAUAUCUCAAACCCCUAGCCAUAUUAGGCCAUUCUAUGCCAACAUAGAAGUGAUACUGCUAAAAUGAGUAAUAAGAAGGACCCAUCCUUCUCCUAGCCCACGUGUAAGCUAGAUCGGACCACCCACUAGCAAUUAACGAACCCACUAAAAGAGGGCCCUGUGAUUAAAAAAAUAGCCAAGAAAAACUCACACUCCCACAUCGUUAAACCUACACUGGAGGGCACACAAGGAAAGACUAAAAGAAGAGGAAGGAACUCGGCAAACACAAGCCUCGCCUGUUUACCAAAAACAUCGCCUCCCGCAAAAAUCAAUGUAUAGGAGGUCUUGCCUGCCCAGUGACUGUAAGUUAAACGGCCGCGGUAUUUUGACCGUGCAAAGGUAGCGCAAUCACUUGUCUUUUAAUUGAAGACCUGUAUGAAUGGUGAAACGAGGGCUUAACUGUCUUCCCCCUCUAGUCAAUGAAAUUGAUCUACCCGUGCAGAAGCGGGUAUAAUUAUACAAGACGAGAAGACCCUUUGGAGCUUAAGACAAAAAACCAACUAUGUCAAAAGCCACAAAAAAAUAGUGCUAAACCAAAUAGUACUGGUUCCAGUCUUCGGUUGGGGUGACCGCGGGAGAAAACAAAGCUCCCAUGCGGACAGGGGAGUCCCCCUAAAACUAAGAAAGACAUUUCUAAGGCACAGAACAUCUGACCACAAAGAUCCGGCUUAAUGCCGAUCAACGGACCAAGUUACCCUAGGGAUAACAGCGCAAUCCCCUUCCAGAGUCCAUAUCGACAAGGGGGUUUACGACCUCGAUGUUGGAUCAGGACAUCCUAAUGGUGCAGCCGCUAUUAAGGGUUCGUUUGUUCAACGAUUAAAGUCCUACGUGAUCUGAGUUCAGACCGGAGCAAUCCAGGUCAGUUUCUAUCUGUAACGCUAUUUUUCCUAGUACGAAAGGACCGGAAAAAUGGGGCCCCUGCUACAAACACGCCCCCCUCCAACUUAAUGAAGACAACUAAAUUAAGUAAAAACAAGCACAAACCUCCAUCCGAGAUAAGGAUUU